rnacentral:tRNA from 1 species
GGACAGGUGGCGGAGCGGUCAAUCGCAGCAGACUGUAAAUCUGCCGCCCCUUGGGGCUACGAAGGUUCAAAUCCUUCCCUGUCCACCA